GAUGAACGCUCGCGGCGUGCCUAAUACAUGCAAGUCGAGCGAAUGGAUUAAGAGCUUGCUCUUAUGAAGUUAGCGGCGGACGGGUGAGUAACACGUGGGUAACCUGCCCAUAAGACUGGGAUAACUCCGGGAAACCGGGGCUAAUACCGGAUAAUAUUUUGAACUGCAUGGUUCAAAAUUGAAAGGCGGCUUCGGCCGUCACUUAUGGAUGGACCCGCGUCGCAUUAGCUAGUUGGUGAGGUAACGGCUCACCAAGGCAACGAUGCGUAGCCGACCUGAGAGGGUGAUCGGCCACACUGGGACUGAGACACGGCCCAGACUCCUACGGGAGGCAGCAGUAGGGAAUCUUCCGCAAUGGACGAGAGUCUGACGGAGCAACGCCGCGUGAGUGAUGAAGGCUUUCGGGUCGUAAAACUCUGUUGUUAGGGAAGAACAAGUGCUAGUUGAAUAAGCUGGCACCUUGACGGUACCUAACCAGAAAGCCACGGCUAACUACGUGCCAGCAGCCGCAGUAA
rnacentral:rRNA from 1 species